UACGUAAGGUGCAAGCGUUAAUCGGAAUUACUGGGCGGUAAAGCGUGCGCAGGCGGUUUUGUAAGUCUGUCGUGAAAUCCCCGGGCUCAACCUGGGAAUUGCGAUGGAGACUGCAAGGCUAGAAUCUGGCAGAGGGGGGUAGAAUUCCACGUGUAGCAGUGAAAUGCGUAGAGAUGUGGAGGAACACCGAUGGCGAAGGCAGCCCCCUGGGUCAAGAUUGACGCUCAUGCA
rnacentral:rRNA from 1 species